UACGAAGGGGGCUAGCGUUGCUCGGAAUUACUGGGCGUAAAGCGCACGUAGGCGGCUCUUUAAGUCGGGGGUGAAAUCCUGGAGCUCAACUCCAGAACUGCCUUUGAUACUGGCGAUCUUGAGUCCGGGAGAGGUGAGUGGAACUCCGAGUGUAGAGGUGAAAUUCGUAGAUAUUCGGAAGAACGCCAGUGGCGAAGGCGGCUCACUGGCCCGGUACUGACGCUGAGGUGCGAAAGCGUGGGGAGCAAACAGG
rnacentral:rRNA from 1 species